rnacentral:rRNA from 1 species
GAUGAACGCUGGCGGCGUGCCUAAUACAUGCAAGUCGAGCGAACAGACGAGGAGCUUGCUCCUCUGACGUUAGCGGCGGACGGGUGAGUAACACGUGGAUAACCUACCUAUAAGACUGGGAUAACUUUGGGAAACCGGAGCUAAUACCGGAUAAUAUAUUGAACCGCAUGGUUCAAUAGUGAAAGACGGUUUUGCUGUCACUUAUAGAUGGAUCCGCCCCUCAUUAGCUAGUUGGUAAGGUAACGGCUUACCAAGGCAACGAUGCGUAGCCGACCUGAGAGGGUGAUCGGCCACACUGGAACUGAGACACGGUCCAGACACCUACGGGAGGCAGCAGUAGGGAAUCUUCCGCAAUGGGCGAAAGCCUGACGGAGCAACGCCGCGUGAGUGAUGAAGGUCUUAGGAUCGUAAAACUCUGUUAUUAGGGAAGAACAAAUGUGUAAGUAACUAUGCACGUCUUGACGGUACCUAAUCAGAAAGCCACGGCUAACUACGUG